CCAUUACCGGGGGCGGACAAGCUUGACUUGUCAAGUUGGUUCGUUGCUGGUUUCGGCGGGGGGGAUGUAUAUCACAGCGCAUCCCGAGCCCGACCCCGCUACUUGCUGCUAUGCCUACUCCUACUCUCAGUGGGGGUAGGCCUCGUUCUGUUACCUAACAGGUAGACAGAAC
rfam:Hepacivirus hominis isolate GT8-3 polyprotein gene, complete cds